rnacentral:rRNA from 1 species
GAUGAACGCUGGCGGCGUGCCUAAUACAUGCAAGUCGAGCGAACGGACGAGAAGCUUGCUUCUCUGAUGUUAGCGGCGGACGGGUGAGUAACACGUGGAUAACCUACCUAUAAGACUGGGAUAACUUCGGGAAACCGGAGCUAAUACCGGAUAAUAUUUUGAACCGCAUGGUUCAAAAGUGAAAGACGGUCUUGCUGUCACUUAUAGAUGGAUCCGCGCUGCAUUAGCUAGUUGGUAAGGUAACGGCUUACCAAGGCAACGAUGCAUAGCCGACCUGAGAGGGUGAUCGGCCACACUGGAACUGAGGCACGGUCCAGACUCCUACGGGAGGCAGCAGUAGGGAAUCUUCCGCAAUGGGCGAAAGCCUGACGGAGCAACGCCGCGUGAGUGGUGAAGGUCUUCGGAUCGUAAAACUCUGUUAUUAGGGGAGAACAUAUGUGUAAGUAACUGUGCACAUCUUGACGGUACCUAAUCAGAAAGCCACGGCUAACUACGUG